CCGUCACCCCGCGCAAGGCCUGUCGGUCCCGCUGCUCAGCCCACGGGCCAGAGCCGCGCGCCGGCCUCCGGUGGAGGGCCCCGUUCCCCAGCGAUCGGCCCUUUUCGGAAAUUGGGGGGAAGCUGCAGUACCCAGUAACCGCCUGUAUUGCGGAGGAGAGACAGAAGGUUGUGCCCGAGCACAGGAGAAACUGCAACCUCCCGCAGCCGUCGGGCCCUGCCUGCGGGACUCCCCGAGCUCGCGGGCCGCUGGGGACUGUAGUCUUUGUGGCGCGCCCCCCAGCAGUCUCCACGCCUCCUCUCCUGUCUUUGAACUACAUAUAAACCCCUCGUUUAUAUGAACAGUCUAGGGCUAAACUGAAGUAUAAAUAAAAGGUGUAUGUUGAAUUAACCUACAUGCAUCACGUGCCUACUGUGGACUUGAGUACUUUAUAAUUGGGAAUGUUCCUGGCAGCUUUAUUUGUAAUAGCCCUAAAUUGGAAGCAACCCAGAUGACCUUCAACAGUCGAAUGGUUAAACGAACUGUGGUACAGGAUACCAUAGAAUACAAUUUAGCAAUAAAAAGGAACAAAUUAUUGAUACAUGCGACAAUAGACAAUCGGAUGAAUCUCUAUCCACCUUAUUUUUUAUGUUUACUAUAGACACAAUGGCUUUCUUUCAUAAAAGGAAAAAUGCUAACUAUAUUCAGAUGUUUAAAUACAGCUUUCAACUGAUU